rnacentral:lncRNA from 1 species
GCGGAGCUUUCCGGAAAUAAUUUGAGUUUAUUUAACUCUAAUACACUGGGAAUACAUUAUUUUCCUAUAAUGCCAGAGCUGAAUUUCAGAAUAGUUUCUGUAAAUUGUACUUGAGCCAAGUUAUCUCAUGUUAAUCCCAUAACCUGUCCUAACAGAAAUGGUAUUUCACAUAAUUCAGACCGUUACUUUUGUAACUUCCCCAACUGAAAGGGCUGUAAUUAAUGGAAUACUAAGAGUUUAAACAGUGAGUCAGGGCUGAUCCAAAUCAGGCCCGAUUGUAUUCAGACAGCUGACUCUAAUUACCCCCUGUAUUAAUUUUAUUUUCACUUAUGACUGUAUUGAAAAUUGCACACUUCCAUUUUUACAGUCAUUUCAUAUCAUAACAUUAUAAUUCCUGACCAUGCAAGUUGUAAAAUAUAGACUGGAAUUUUGUCAAAUUUACAAGCAUCCAAAUGUAUCUUUCUACAUACCAACAAUACCUUUAUUCAUUAUUUUCAUACUAAAGCAGUUUUAAGCCUCCCAGUUCUGCUUUAAAUACUGGUAUUAUACUCUUCUGUAUUUUCUCCAUUUGAUUUACUCAUUGACAAUAGUCACCGGUAAUGCAGAACUGUCUUCUUUAAAAGACAUUAAAUAAAAUCAACUGAAAGAAAGCAAAGAAAAUACGAUGAAUCAGUGGCAAACAGAAAUCACAGUCAUCUUCCCGUGAGAUCUACAAUACGUACUAGGGCAAAAAUCAAUCGUGAUGUGACUUCUAUGUGCUUCUCCCUCUUUACCAUUUGCUUAUGAGUCAUGGACACUGUGUUCCAUUUAAAAAUAAAAAUAAAAUAUGUUGCUCAUCCUCUUCUCUUUUGCUCCAGAUGAUGUCAUGUGGUGCUGUCUGCUUCUCUCAGCACUCUUUCUCCUCACAGACCUCCUUCUCCUGAAAAUGAAAGAGGGAGAGCUGAAAGCUCACUGCUGGACCACCCUUGUGGUCACUUUCCCUCCUUUAAGAUGACUCACUGGACGUCAUUUCAGUUCUUUUUUAAACCCA